rnacentral:tRNA from 1 species
GGGGAAGUGCCGGAACUGGCAGACGGGCGUGGCUUAGGACCACGUGCCUACGGGCGUAAGGGUUCGAGUCCCUUCUUCCCCACCA